GUUUCUCGGCAACGGAUAUCUCGACUCUGGCAUCGAUGAAGAACAUAGAGAAAUGCUAUACCUGUGUGAAUUGAAGAAUCCCGGGAGCCAUGGAGUAUUUGAGUGCAAGUUGUGCCGGAAACGUCAGGCUGAGGGCACGCCUGCCUGGGUGUCACGC
rnacentral:rRNA from 1 species